UGGAGCGUUCUGUAAUCCGAUGAGGGUGAAUUGAGAAGCUUGCUGGAGGUAUCAGACGUGCGAAUGCUGGCAUGAGUCACGUAAAAGAAAGUAGAUUCUUAUGGGCCGAAAACCCUGUGGGUCCUACGCAAUGUUAAUAAACGGAGGGUAAUCCGGCCCCUAGGGCGUAGCUGAAGAGUGAAGUCGCUGGGAAACAGGUUAAUAUUCCUAACAUGCUUAUAUGCACGACGGAGGGACGGAGAAGGUUCGGUAGGACUGGCGCAUGGAUGUCCAGGUGUAAGUAUGUAGUGAGGAAUGCUAGGCAAAUGCGGAGGUACGUUGAUCUGAGCUAAGAGACGAACGUAAACUGGUGUGGCUAAGGUAUGCAUACCAAUCCUAUCGGCAAAAGUUAUCAUUAUCAU
rnacentral:rRNA from 1 species